CGGUCUAGAAACCAAACAUAAUAGGACAAUGUAACAAUCAAAUUAUGAAUAAGGAAAAAUCAGUUGCACUUCCCAAGGUUUAACAACUCAAAUCAAUACAUAUCACAAUUAACCCUUCAUGAAAUUAGCUCACCACAAAUUCAAACAAACUUAUUUUGAAAUUGAACAAUUGAUAAAACAACCUAGAUUAAAACCAAAAGAUAAACAAAACUUAAAAUUCAAAACAAUAGAAACCUCACAAAUCAAUAUAAAUUACAGUAAGUACCUAAUAGCUAUGGAUAAAAACCCUUUCCCCCAAUUUUCGAAUCCCUAACCCUCUCCCACUGUCGCUUUCACUCACAUGCUCUCUGUCCCACAAGGAGAAUAUGUCUUCUUUACAAUCAACACUUCAUUCUUUACCCAAAAAUUUUCUAUCACCCAACUAUUACAUUGCACUCGAGGAUAAUCUUACACAGGAAGAGAUUUUGAAUUCAGCACUGACAUUUCCCAGGGCGUGGUGUGUUGGAUUGCUAUCGUUCACAUGAGCUGAAUUAGCAGCGCAUUUCAAUCAUUUUUUCGGUAAGCAUCAUAGUUUCUGCGAGAAU
rnacentral:misc_RNA from 1 species